UACGUAGGUGGCAAGCGUUGUCCGGAUUUACUGGGCGUAAAGAGCGCGCAGGCGGUCGUUCAAGUCGCGUGUGAAAGCCCCCGGCUCAACUGGGGAGGGUCACGCGAUACUGAUCGACUCGAAGGCAGGAGAGGGUAGUGGAAUUCCCGGUGUAGUGGUGAAAUGCGUAGAUAUCGGGAGGAACACCAAUGGCGAAGGCAGCUCACUGGGACGGUACUGACGCUGAGACGCGAAAGCGUGGGGAGCAAACAGGG
rnacentral:rRNA from 1 species